ensembl:ncRNA T19H12.14 ncRNA
GGUUUUCCAGUGUAAGCAACUUCCAUUGUACUUCCCAGUCCUCCAUGGGUAACAAAUAAUUUCACACGUUUGUCGGCAAGCAAAGAAGGCUGUGGAACCCAUUUCUUCAAGUGAACAUUUUUUGGGAGUCUCUUCUGGAAUUCCACGUC